GUAGUCUCGCACAGAUGCAUAUCAAUAAGCGGAGGAAAAGAAACUAACAAGGAUUCCCUUAGUAACAGGCGAGUGAAGCGGGAAGAGCUCAAAUUUGAAAUCUUCAAGGUUUUACCUUGACGAAUUGUAGUUUAAAGAAGUGUUUUCUGUUGAAGUUUUGGUAAAAGUUCUUUGGAAUAGGACAUCAUAGAGGGUGAGAAUCCCGUAUUUGACCAUUAUUUUCAGCUGUGUGAUACACUUUCAAAGAGUCGGAUUGUUUGGGAAUGCAGUCCAAAAUGGGUGGUAAAUUUCAUCUAAAGCUAAAUAUUGGCGAGAGACCGAUAGCGAACAAGUACCGUGAGGGAAAGAUGAAAAGAACUUUGAAAAGAGAGUUAAACAGUACGUGAAAUUGUCAAAAGGGAAGCGUUUGACACCAGUGUUGUUUUCUCGAAAAUCAAUUAAAAAGAGUUAGAUUUUGUUGUGUAUUGACCUUAACAGCUUGCAUUUCAAUUUUCUUGCUUUUUUUAAUGCACUUUUCGUUUAACAAGUCAACAUCAGUUUCUUUUGUUGUAAAAAGGUCAUUGGAAGGUGGCUUUCUUUUCGGAGAAAGUGUUUAUAGCCUUUGACUCCUGCAAUCGGAGAGACUGAGGUCUGCAGCGUAGAUCCUUCGGGGUUAGAUACAUUUGUGCUAAGUUAUAGCUUUUUAUAGGACAACUUGUUGACUAUGAUUAGUCUUGUAGCUUACUCGCUUAUGCUAUUUUACCUACGCUUAGGAUGUUGAGCGCAUGUCUCUCUCU
rnacentral:rRNA from 1 species